rnacentral:rRNA from 1 species
UACGUAGGGUGCAAGCGUUGUCCGGAAUUAUUGGGCGUAAAGAGCUUGUAGGCGGUUUGUCGCGUCUGCUGUGAAAUUUCGGGGCUCAACCCCGAACUUGCAGUGGGUACGGGCAGACUAGAGUGUGGUAGGGGAGACUGGAAUUCCUGGUGUAGCGGUGAAAUGCGCAGAUAUCAGGAGGAACACCAGAGGCGAAGGCGGCGACCUGGACAGAUACUGACACUGAACUACGAAAGCGUGGGGAGCAAACAGG